AACAUCAACAACGACAUCAUCAACCACAUCUACAGCAACACCAACAACAUCAACCACAAUUACACCUCCCCCAGAAGAAAUUAAGUUUUGGGUUGUAAUAUUGAUCUGUCUGGCUGUCAUCAUUGUUCUCUGGGGAGUCUGCAUUGCUGGGUUCUUUUGCUUCAGAAUUCUUUUUAUUAACCAAGGAUUCUUCUUCCUGAAUUGAUCACCAUAACAGCACCUAUUAACUACAACUGGAAGACAAACGGGACAAAUAA